rnacentral:misc_RNA from 1 species
AAAGUCGUAACAAGGUUUCCGUAGGUGAACCUGCGGAAGGAUCAUUAUUGAAUGAAUCUAGAGUUGGUUGUCGCUGGCCCCCCAGGGCAUGUGCACGCCUUCUCUCCUUCAUCCACACACACCUGUGCACUUGUGAGACGGAGGAUUGAAAAAGUCCUCUGCCUACUUAAUCACACAAACUCAUCCUAACUUGAACCGAAUGUAAUUGAUGUAACGCAUCAUUGGAACUAAGUUUCAACAACGGAUCUCUUGGCUCUC